CUGCUCAAUGAUUUUUUAAAUUGCUGUGGUAUUUUGACUAUACAAAGGUAUUGAAAUAAGAUUUUAAUUGAAUGCUAAGAGAAUGGAAUUUCAGAAAAAAACUUUUUUCAAGUUAAAAAUUGAAAUUUUUUUAAUUUGUGCAGAAACAAUUAUUAAUAUUAAGGACAAGAAGACCCUAUGAAUUUAUAAAUUUUAUUUAAUAUGUAACUACUAUUGAAAAAAUUUUAGCUGGGGCGGCGGAAAAAUAUUUAAAACUUUUUUAAAAUAAAAUGACCCAUUAUUAAUGAUUAUAUGUUAAAUACUCUAGGGAUAACAGCGU
rnacentral:rRNA from 1 species